rnacentral:lncRNA from 1 species
CCUUCCGUGAGCAAAUACUUUCUGUCUGAAGUGAAGUCCUAUUUCUAGAAAAAUCUAGUGGAAUCGUUCACUGGCAGUGUUUUGCCUCCAGCUUUGGACUGAUGGUGUUUUUGAGGUAGUCCGCAUUAGUGUAUAGCAGAACUUGACCCCUGUGUGUCAGCAGGUUGCUUAUUCCUCAGCAGCGCAAGUACAGAGCCUUACCUUUGACCUGCUUAGCUCUUCAGGAGCACCACCUCAUGUUCAUCCAUGAUGGACACGUGCAUUGGUUCAGAUUGUGCUGCUCUGACAUUUGUACGCAAGGGUGCUUUGCAUGUGUUGAACUUUCUGAAAAAAAAUUUAAAAUGUAUUAUUAUUAUUAUUGUUACUAAUUUGUGUGUGUGUUUGUAUGUUUGUGUGCAUGUGCAUGUUCAUGUGUGUGUCUGUGCACUCCUUUGCAUGUGUGUAUAUAUGCUUGUGGACUAGCCUCAUGCCCUGUAUGGAGGUCAAAGGAGGCUGUUCUUUUUCUUCCACAGUGGGUUCCAGGGAUUGACCCCAAGUUAUCAGGCAGUUCCACCCAAUGAGCUGUCUUACUGAUCCCAUUUUAACUUUCCAGAAGCAGCCACACUCUUAAAAAGAAGCCUAUCAUACAAACACACAGCGUUUCUGUUGAGAUUGUUUUAAAGUGUAGCUGUUUGUAUACUAUUCGUGUGUCUUGUGUGUGUGUAUAUGUAUGUAUGAAUUGACAUUCCAAGUUUUUGAUGACUUUUAACCAGUUUUAUCAUAUUGAGAUACAGAGAUAUGUAUGUUCUGGUUAAGUUAAUUAUGUAAGUGUGUGUGUGUUAUGUGUGUGUGCCACAUGUGUGUGGACGCCCACAGAAGUGUGUGUGUUAUGUGUGUGCGCCACGUGUGUGUGGACGCCCACAGAAGCUUUGACUCCUAGAGAAGGAGUCAUGGGGAGUUGCGAGCCACCUGAUGAGACUAAACUUGGGCCCUGUGAGAGAGCUGUGUGCUCAGGAGCAGGCUUUCAGGUCAGGUCCACCUCAGAUCUCCAGGGCCUGUGUCCCAAGGGGCCGGUAUCUUCCUUCAGGGACUUACUUUCAACCAAGGGCUGUGUCAGUAUUCACCUUGGUUUUAAAUUCUAGGCCUCUCACUGGUUUGGAGCUCAGUAUAUAACCUGGGCUGCUGGUCUUUUCUUACAUAGGCCUUUACAGCCAGACAUCCAAUCUGAGCAGUUCUUCAGCCGUACAUCCUAAAUUGUGUGUUGUGAGCUUAGUUUUUAACAUUUUCCAGUAUCUUUCAUGAUUUUUUUUUUUUUUUUGAGACAGGGUUUCUCUGUGUAGCCCUGGCUGUCCUGGAACUCACUUUGUAGACCAGGCUGGCCUCGAACCCAGAAAGCUUGCCUCUGCCUCCCAAGUGCUGGGACUAAAGGCGUCUGCCACCACGCCCGGCUCCCCUGGGUUAUUUUGAAACAUUUGUUUUAUUUGUUUGGCUUUGCCUUUUGAGUCAGGGUCUCAUUAUGUAGUUCAGGCUGCCCUUGAACCUGCUAUAUCCUGUACACCAGUCUGGCCUUGAACUCAUUUCUUUUUCCCUUAGCCUUCCAGGUUCUGGAAUUACAGACAUGUGCCACUAUGCCAAGCAAUAAAUGUAUUAUGAAUUUUUCAAAUAUUGACAACUUUCCAACUCACUGUUGGUUUUGAAUUGAAUUCUGCUAUGAUUAAAAAGCAUUAGGAAUAGUGUGGAGCCUUUUUCUGAGACCUUUUAUGGCUUACCACAUAGUUUCCACUGACAUGUUCCCUGUGGCCUAACAAGGCGAGUGCAUUCUGCUGCCCUUAGCUGAAGGGUUCUGGGAGUGUUGGUUUGGCUGAUCAUUUGUUCUGAUGCAUGUCUUUGUUGAUUUUCUAUCUAGUGCUGGGUAUUGAAAGUUAUUCACCUCGAGAGCUUUUGAGCUAGUGAGACCUUUGUAAUCUUCGUCACUUACAGAGGUGAAUUUCUACACGGCACCAAAAAGAAAACGUGGUCACAAGUUAUCAUCGUUUUAGAAAAAUGAACUCAGAUACAUUUGUUGCAAGGUUAUACUUGUUUUUAGAACCCUCUACCUUUCAAAAAGAAUUUGUUCAUAUCGUUAAAAGGUAAGGAUAUUCAGGGUAGGAAAUAUUAUAUAGAUUUCAGAAUUUCUUAGAGCAUAAAGGUCAUUCCUUGUGAGACACAAACAGAAUUUUAAUAACAGUAGAUGCUUUAGUGUCUUGGGUCUUACACCAGUGUUUAUAAUUGGCAGAAUUGUUGGUUUGUUACUCCUUUCAUCUGGGCUCUUUCUUUUAUGCUACUUUUAUUAAGCUCAUGUUAUUCUUUCAUCUUAUGUACUGAAAAGAAAAUGCAUAUGGAAUAAUCUAGGAUAUAUUAUUCCAUAAUUUGUUCCAUUUCUUUUUUUUCAAUAUAUUUAAAAAUGUUUAUUAAAAUUUUUUACACAUGUGUAAAAUAUAUAUAUAUAUAUAUUUAUGUGUGUAUAUAUACAUAUAUAAUAUGUGUAUGUGUAUAUAUAUAUAAAUAUAUAUAUAAAUAAAUAAUGUGUUUGCGUGUGUGUGUGAGUGUGAAUGCCAUGUGUGUAUAAGUAGGUACCUGCAGUGAGCAGUUAAAGAGGGUCAGAUCCUGGAGCUGGAGUUUUAGACAGUUGUGAGCUGCCAUAUGGGUGCUGGGAGUUGAACCUGGGUCAUCUGGAAGAGUAGCCAGUGCUCUUAACCAUUGAGUCAUUUUUCUAGCACCCUAAAAUGGAUUUUUGAGGGAUUGGAGGUGGUUCAGAACCACCUGUAGCUGUAGUUCCAGAGUGUCCUACCCUGUCUUCUGACUUUUUUAGGUAUGAGGAAGGCACAAGGUGCACAUACAUAUAGGAGGCAAAAGCUUACACACACACACACACACACACACACACACACACACACUCACACUCCCCCAAUAGACAGAAACGACAACAAAAAAUUAAUAAAAUUAUUUUUAAAGUUAUUUUUGAAUUGAUGCUUAAAAUAAAAAUUGAACAUAUUAAUGAGGUAGUAUGAUAUGUUAAACAUUUUUGAAAUGACUUUUAUUUGUGUAAGUAUUUUGUCUGCAUGUGAGUUAGAAAAUACAUACAGGAUAAUGUAGGCUGCAUUACAGCAAGUGUGCCUGGUACCUGAGGGAGAAGGUCAUAAGAAGGUGUGGGCUCCCUGGUUUGGAGUUCUAGAUAGUUGUAAGACAGUCUCGACUUUGUUGUGAAAGGAACCUCGACAAGAGACUGUCUAGACUAGGGUGGUUGGUGUGUCUAUGGGGGAUUAUGUUGAUUGUGUUAACUAGGUGGGAAGACUUGCCCACUGUGGGUGACAUCAUUCCAUUCUGGACUGUGUUAGUGGAGAGAAAUCUAGCUAAAGACAAAAAUACAUUCAUUACUUCAUUGCUUUCUGCCCUUGAGCAUGGAUGUGUAGUGUGACUCACUGUUUCAAGUUCUUGUAGCCUUGACUUCCACACUGAAGAAUUGUAACCUGAAUUGUGAGCAAAAUAAACCUUUUCCCUCUCAAAUUGCUUUUGCCAGGGUAAUUUAUCACAGCAACAGGAAAAGAAACAAAGGCAGUGUGUCUACAUAUAAUUACGAUCAUACUGGACAUGUCUCAACCCCUGUGUUGUAUAUAGUUUCUUACAUAGCUCAUUCUUUGUGGAUUUUCUUAAUCCAUUAAACAUCAUUGAAACUGUUUCCAUUUCUGUAAAAUUAAAAGGAGUUGGAGACUCUCUGUUUCCUUAAGUGAAUAGCAAAUAUACAGUAUGUUAUUUUAAAUUAAAGGAACUCCAAGAAAGCACCUUCAUUCCAAGAGGUUUUAGAAGAUCAGACCAGUGAGACUUGUAUCAUUUGUUCAUGGACUUAGCAAAGGUUUGUUGAAUGUUGUCUGUGAGCCAGUUAUAAUGGCAAGACAUAGAUAGCAAACAAAAUACUGUGUGUGCUCCAUAGUGAUUUGUACCUAGUAGUUUCCUAGUGCUCCUGGAGCGGAGUUAGACAAAUUGACUUAAAGCAUCAGAGAAUGCUUCAAAUUCAUGGCCGCUUUUUCCUUAAUUGUUGUUGGGAGUGCAUGUAUGUAUAUAAAUACAACCUGUUUGGACUGUAUACUGAUACUCCUACGUAUGUUUUUAGGGCUGAUCAUUUGGUGUUGGAUAACUAGUUGCAUAUUUUUCCCUGGGGAAGAUUGCUUCUUCUAUAGCUUAUCUGACAUUUUUAGGAGACAUAAUCUCACAGCCAACUUCCUGUUCCUCUGGCUCUUACAAUCUUUCUGCCCCCUCUUCAGGAAUGAUCCCUGAGUCUUAGGUACAGGAGUUGUAGAUGUAUUCUUGGAUGCUGUUAAUAAUGUAUUGCUCAAUU